CUCGGAUUGCAAUGAACACGUGCAAACCAUGUUUCACGUUUUCCACAUACAUCCCUACUCAGUCAGACUUCCAAUCUUAUCUCUCUCCCUUCACCGCGCUGGAGCUUACCAUCGACGGUGGUGGAGCAUCAGAUAUCAAAAUUACAUAUGCCAAAAUGUUCUAUUUCUCAAGCUCUACCAAAAACUACCAUCAAUUUCACCUGAAUCUCCAUAAAUUCUAUAGAUCGAGCAAGAACAAGCAAAGAACCCUAGAUACUAAAUUAGAAAUUAAAUGAUGGAUUGGAGCAAUCAAAGUCCCUGAUGUUAGGGAUUUGAUUCCCCGACUCUCGCUCUACAUGAUGGUAACUCGUAUGCAUCAAAUGGUAGAGAAAAUCAAAACUACCUGCUAGAGAAAACGGCCGAGAUCGAAGCAAAACAACGUCUGAACAAGUUUAGGAUGUUGCAUUGCAGUUAGGUGGCAGUGUAUUGGAUAACUUGGUGAACCAAUUUAGACUCGAGCUGCAGAUUGAAAUGUUUUGGCAUUGCAGGUGGCUUGCAACAAGUAAUUUGUUGAUGAUGAUGACCUAAUAUUUCAGGUGACAUGUAUGGAAAUACAUGCAAUGCAAUGGUUGGUUAAAGUGCAAACAGGUUUUGCAGGUUAGGCCAAGGUUUGCUCAAUGUUUGAUGCAAAGUUAGUGUGUGUAUGUGGAUGUUUGCAAUAUUUUUAGUGUACUUGCAGGCCUGUGAUGCCAUAUGAUGUGUGCAUUGUUGCAGGUUAUUCAUAUGCUCAUGCCAUGGUGUGCAAAAGGUAUGUUCAUGAAAUGUGAAUUUGUAGCACGCAUGGUUAGGGAUUCUAUGUUAUGUUUGGUUGGUUUUGUAUGAUAAUUGGAUGAUGUGUGAAUGCUUGCUUGUGUAUUACAUGAUGUAUGGCUACAUGUUUGUGAAAUUGGUCACGGUGACAAGGCAAAUAAGGCAUGACCACCCAAGUUUAAUGCAAAAGUAAAGUUUCUUAUUCAUGAAGAAACAUGAUGGUGGAAGCUCAUGAAAUAAUUUGGAUGUAAUUAGCAUUAAGGUUUAGGAGAUGAAAAAAUGUGAUAGUUAACUUUGGGCAAUUGGUUGACAAAAAAGUCAACAGUUGACAAAGAUUCAACUUUUGCAAAAAUGCAUUUUUUGGUAUUUUAUUUUGUAAUUGACAAUGUAAAUGUUGUAUGAAUGAAUGAAUGGUCAUGUAUUUGAAUAAAACGAUCUUUUUGAAUGAAAACAUGUUUGAACUUCAAAGUGCAUUUUGCCUUGAAAUCCAUGUUUUGAAAUCAAUCUUGCCAUGAAACUUUGAAUGGACUUAUGGGUUAAGAAUGGGAAUUAAGACACUUAAACCAAAGGAUUGUGACUAUAUGAUGAUACAAUGGACCAACACAAAUGGACUAUGAAUCAAUGGUAACAAGAACAAAUGCAUUGUGAAAUAUGGACCAAUAAAUGCACCAACAGACCUAAGUCAAUGGUUUAUAAGGUAAUAUGGAUCAAUGAAAUCAAAUGAACUAAGCAUACCAUGGAGUAUGAAGUAAUGAAUGCCAUAGGACUUGACUUAAUAUACUUGGAUACUUGAAUGAAACACAUCCCUUAUAAUGAGGACUUUGAAUGAAUGAUGAGCCAUGAAGCACAAAACCAUAGACUUGAAUGCACCAUAGGCCUAUAAUAAAUUGGAAUAGGAAUGGCCAAAUAGAAUGCACAUGACAUAGAUGCUAGAACAAAGCCUUGGAUCAAAUGAACCCUCAAUCAUGUAGCCAUGUAGGUUAAAUGAUCAGCUUGAUGAAUAAUUUUCAUGAACAAUACCACCCUCGAUGAUUGAUUAUGCAUGACAUGGUGAUUAAGAACCACACUCCAAUGUAUUAGGGUUUCAAUCAAUUACAAGACCAAAAGUCAAAUCGACAUGUUUCACAAGUACCAAGUGUCUCUGAUUAGGGUUUCAUGAUGCCAACCGUCAAAUCAAGAACCUCAAAUUAAGUACUAAGGAUCCACAAAUAAAUCUUCCACAAGUGACCCCAAUAUUAGGGUUUGGUGAUCAAACAUAAACUCAUAAGGUCAACCGCAUGAUCCAAUAGUAGCAAAGUCAAGAAUUAGGGUUUUAGUACAAAGAUGAAAACCAUUUUUGCAAACUCCAUGAAUCAAGGUCUCAUUCUCAAUGAUGAGCAUUACCACAAUCCUAGGGCUUGGUCCUCAAGCAAACCCUAGUUUUCAUUAGGUAUAAAUAACCACAAACUUUGAACCUAUGAUGAUUAUUUGAAAGUGCUAACAUGAAUGAUGCACAUGUAUGAGACAUGAAUGAGUGCAAAUGAAUCGAAAGCCAAAGGUUAGAUGAAAAUCUAAAAGGGAAGGUAAAUUUUGGGGUAUGAUCUCGUUCAGAUAUAAUACAUGCUACUAUAAAUUCAUCAUACAUAUGGGAUCAUUGUGUGGUUUUGAAACUUACUAAGAACAUGCGACUUCAAUAGUCUUCCAUGAACUCAAGUCCAUCUGACUUGGAACAAUUUUCUAACUGGAUAUUGAAAGUUGGUGAUGGAAAGUUAGCAUAACCUAAUGAUGGUUAUGCAUAUAUUGACAUCCCAACUAAAUUAUUGAUCACAAAAUUUGACGAUCCACUUGAAGCCAACGUUCAAAACACAUAUACAAAUUUUGCUGUGAAUUACAACAACGAAACAAUUUUGCAAUCAAGAGCAAUUUUGGCUGGAACCAUUGAGAUUGUUGAUCUCAUCAAUCAAUAUGUAUUGGAAUUCAUUCCAAGUAAUUGUUGAUGUUCAGAUUUAUAUCCUUAUAAACAUAUGCCAAACUAUAAUUGUUUACUAAUACAAUAUUAUUUAAUUCUUUGUAGAAGGGGAAAAGGAAUAUUUAAGUUCUGAUUCAGUUGACACAUAUGAUGGUGAUGACAAUGAAACUUUUGAUGUUUUAACUCCUGAAUUUUUGAAUACACUUAGAACUUCCGAUCUUCCCAAUCACAAGAUUAAAUUGAAUAUUGGCAAUCCAAUUAUGCUUCUUAUAAAUAUUGAUCAAUCAGAAGGUUUGUGUAAUGGAACAUGACUCAUUGUUACAAGAUUGGUAGACCAUGUUAUUGAAGAAAAUAUUAUUUCAUGUAAGAACAUAUGAGGUGUCAUCUAUAUCCCAAGAACGGAUAUUAAUCCUACCCAAUCCCCAUGGCCCUUCAAGAUGACUAGAAGGAAAUUUCCUAUAAUUGUCUAUUAUCCUAUGACAAUUAACAAAUCUCAAGGUCAAUCAUUUGAUUAUGUCGAAAUAUAUUUGCCUAGAAGUGUGUUCAGCCACGGUCAACUAUAUGUUACAAUAUCAAGAGUAAAAAUCAAAAAAGGUCUCAAGGUAUUAAUACAUGACAAAGAAAACCAACCAUUGGAGGCUACGCCAAAUGUUGUUUUUAAAGAAGUUUUUGAAAACUUAUAGAACGUAAGUUAAACAUUAUUUUCAUGGCUGGUAGAAUUUGUGUAACUUGACAUGGUUAGUCAUGACAAAAUUAUUUUGUAUUAAUUAUGUUUUUUCUCCAAUGCUUAAGAACAACCAGGUCCUGGAGAUUGGUUUUAUCCAUUAUCAUAUGGAGAACUAGCAUCAACAAUAAAAUUAACGAAUUUAUACAGGGUGAAGAUUUGAGAUCUUUGAAGGUUAUCAUCAACUUUUUAAGAUCAACAACAUUCUACACAACUGAAAAAAAACGUUUC